GAUGAACGCUAGCUACAGGUUUAACACAUGCAAGUCGAGGGGUUCCAAAGGAGCUUGCUUCUUUGGGACGACCGGCGCACGGGUGAGUAACGCGUAUCCAACCUGCCCUUCAUAUUGGUAUAGCCUCCCGAAAGGGAGAUUAAUCCCGAAUAACAUAUUUUGGUUUCCUGAUUAGAAUAUGAAAGCUCCGGCGAUGAAGGAUGGGGAUGCGUUCCAUUAGGUAGAUGGCGGGUAACGGCCCACCAUGCCUACGAUGUCUAGGGGUUCUGAGAGGAAGGUCCCCCACACUGGAACUGAGACACGGUCCAGACUCCUACGGGAGCAGCAGUGAGGAAUAUUGGUCAAUGGCCGGAAGGCUGAACCAGCCAAGUAGCGUGAAGGAUGAAGGUUCUAUGGAUUGUAAACUUCUUUAUACGGGAAUAAAACCACCUACGUGUAGGUGCUUGUAUGUACCGUAUGAAUAAGCAAUCGGCUAACUCCGUG
rnacentral:rRNA from 1 species